rnacentral:rRNA from 1 species
GGGCCCGCACAAGCGGUGGAGUAUGUGGUUUAAUUCGAUGCAACGCGAAGAACCUUACCAGGGUUUGACAUCCUGCGAAUCUUUUGGAAACAGGAGAGUGCCUUCGGGAACGCAGUGACAGGUGGUGCAUGGCUGUCGUCAGCUCGUGUCGUGAGAUGUUGGGUUAAGUCCCGCAACGAGCGCAACCCACGUCUUUAGUUGCCAGCAUUUAGUUGGGCACUCUAGAGAGACUGCCGGUGAUAAACCGGAGGAAGGUGUGGAUGACGUCAAGUCAUCACGGCCCUUACGUCCUGGGCCACACACGUGCUACAAUGGCCGGUACAGAGAGCAGCCACGUCGCAAGGCGGAGCGAAUCUAUAAAACCUAUCUCAGUUCGGAUCGGAGUCUGCAACUCGACUCCGUG